UAAAAUAUAAAUUAAGAUUCGUUUAUAUUUUUGCAAUAUUUUGGAAAUUUUCAAUUUUUUCUUUUUCUUCUUCUUCGUAUUUGAAUAGUCUGGGAGGACACCAGCCAUACGUUCCAGUUGUAUUACAUAACGACAAACCAAAGAACCUGAACAGCGCUAAUGCGCCAGGAAACUCAUGUAACAGUCAGAAUAUUUGUGGUAUACAAAACGAUUGGAAACAAAGAGCUCGGGUACUUUGCUCAUAUGACGCAACGGACAGUACUGAGCUUAAUCUCAGCGCUAAUGAGAUCAUAUUUGUGACGGAAUUAAAUCCCCUCAAUUCUGAUUAUAUGUAUGGAAAACAAGGCCUGAUAAAUGGCUUAGUACCAAAAGCAUUCUUGGAACUUUUGGAAGAAUAAUUUUCUUGUGGUUCACAUAUUCUUAAAAUACGCAUAGUUAAGCAGGGGGAUUACAGAUUGACAGUUGAGCUGCAUGAUAUAUACUGAAUGAAUAGUUCUGCAGCUUGCCGUAUAUGAUAUUGUAGGGCAAACUGCGGCGCUAGUGUGCUUGUGUUUCAAUCUACAAACCCCCUGUAGUUAAGAUAUUCAUUAGAUAACUACUAUGUAUAAAAUCGUAUUGUUGAUUUUUAAAUAACGAUACAAAUAAAACAGCCAUGAAAUGUUUAGAAAAAUUCAUAUUAUUUAUGUCUGUUUGAAGUUCUACGCGUGGUUUUAAUUUUGAAGCCGUCUGUAUCUCCAAAAUAGCAACAGACUUCUUUUAGAAUCAU